CUAGAUGUCACAAAGGCCUCAGGCCAUCUACUAAACUGAUCAACUAUGACCAGUAAGUAUUGCUGUUUCUUACCAAUUUUGGGUACAUGAGUAAAAUCAAUCUUUAAGUGUGUAAAAGGAGCAGCUGGAGGGGGCAAAUGUUCGUGCUGUGAUUUGUGUGGAAUAUUAGGAUGUGUUCUCAUACAUGGUUCACACGAUCUUACAAAAGACUGUACAUGCUGCCUGAGAUUCCUAAUAUAAAAUGAAUUCAUGAGGAAUUGGAUGGUGCUUGCUAUGCUUUUGUGACCAGGACCAUGUGCCUGACUGAUGAAAAUAAAACAG